UUCACAUUGUCAUUAUGGGGUACUGUAUGUAGAAUUUUGAGGAAAAAAAAGAUUUUCAUCCAUUUUGGAAUAAGGCUGUAACAUAACAAAAUGUGGAAAAAGUGAAACACUGAAUACUUACCGGAUGCACUGUAUCAAUCAAUCAAUCA